AGCGAACGCUGGCGGCAGGCCUAACACAUGCAAGUCGAACGAACCUUUCGGGGUUAGUGGCGGACGGGUGAGUAACACGUGGGAACGUGCCUUUAGGUUCGGAAUAACUCAGGGAAACUUGUGCUAAUACCGAAUGUGCCCUUCGGGGGAAAGAUUAAUCGCCUUUAGACCGGCCCGCGUCUGAUUAGCUAGUUGGUUGAGGUAAUGGCUCACCAAGGCGACGAUCAGUAGCUGGUCUGUGAGGAUGAUCAGCCACAUUGGGACUGAGACACGGCCCAAACUCCUACGGGGGGCAGCAGUAGGGAAUCUUGCGCAAGGGGCGAAAGCCUGACGCAGCCAUGCCGCGUGAAUGAUGAAGGUCUUAGGAUUGUAAAAUUCUUUCACCGGGGACGAUAAUGACGGUACCCGGAGAAGAAGCCCCGGCUAACUUCGUG
rnacentral:rRNA from 1 species